rnacentral:rRNA from 1 species
CUUCUCCUACGGGAGGCAGCAGUCGGGAAUAUUGCGCAAUGGAGGAAACUCUGACGCAGUGACGCCGCGUAUAGGAAGAAGGUUUUCGGGUUGUAAACUAUUGUCGUGAGGGAAGCAAUUGACAGUACCUCAGGAGGAAGCUCCGGCUAACUAUGUGCCAGCAGCCGCGGUAAUACAUAGGGAGCAAGCGUUAUCAGGAUUUAUUGGGUGUAAAGGGUGCGUAGACGGGAAAUUAAGUUAGUUGUGAAAUCCCUCGGCCUAACUGAGGAACUGCAACUAAACUG